GGAGGAAUAAACAAAAUUUUGCAAAAAUUUUAUUAUUAUAUUUAUUAUAAUUUCCUCUU
rnacentral:tRNA from 1 species